rnacentral:rRNA from 1 species
AUUGAACGCUGGCGGCAGGCCUAACACAUGCAAGUCGAGCGAGUGGCGGACGGGGGAGUAAUGUCUGGGAAACUGCCCGAUGGAGGGGGAUAACUAAUGGAAACGGUAGCUAAUACCGCAUACCAUCGGAUGUGCCCAGAUGGGAUUAGCUCGUAGGUGGGGUAACGGCUCACCUAGGCGACGAUCCCUAGCUGGUCUGAGAGGAUGACACGCCACACUGGAACGGAGACACGGUCCAGACUCCUCCGGGAGGCAGCAGUGGGGAAUAUUGCACAAUGGGCGCAAGCCUGAUGCAGCCAUGCCGCGUGUAUGAAGAAGGCCUUCGGGUUGUAAAGUACUUUCAGCGGGGAGGCGUUACCCGCAGAAGAAGCACCGGCUAACUCCGUGCCAGCAGCCGCGGUAAUAC